rnacentral:rRNA from 1 species
GACGAACGCUGGCGGCGUGCUUAACACAUGCAAGUCGAACGAAGUGGCGAACGGGUGAGUAACGCGUAAUCAACCUGCCCUUCAGCGGGGGACAACAGUUGGAAACGACUGCUAAUACCGCAUACUGAAGGAGGGGAUUGCGUCUGAUUAGCUAGUGGGAGGGGUAACGGCCCACCAGGGCGAUGAUCGGUAGCCGGACUGAGAGGAUGAACGGCGACAUUGGGACUGAGACACGGCCCAGACUCCGACGGGAGGCAGCAGUGGGGAAUCUUCCGCAAUGGACGAAAGUCUGACGGAGCAACGCCGCGUGAGUGAGGACGGCCUUCGGGUUGUAAAGCUCUGUUAAUCGGGACGCGGUACCGGAAGAGAAAGCCACGGCUAACUCCGUGCCAGCAGCCGCGGUAAUUC